rnacentral:lncRNA from 1 species
UGAUGUGAAAAUUGAUGUAAAGGGAGAACUACAAAAUUGUAUUCUUCCCCUCUUUUUGCCAAUGACAAAGGGGGAGAAAGAGUUGCUAAUGUGCACAUCUCAAAGAAAAAGAUGCUAGCUUGCACAAUUCAAGAAUGAAGCAAAAUUUUGCUAGCUUGCACUUUGCAAAGGAAGCAAAAAUGGCACUUCUCAAAAGAGAAUAAAUU